UUCGUACUAGGUCACACUGUUCGAUCAACACUCACAUGACGGAAUGACUUGUAGAUGAUUGAUAUGACAUAUGUGAGCAGUAACAGUUUGGCAGGAUGUUGAUGAUGAUGUUGAGAUGAUCUUGAGGAUGAUCAUUUAGUUUGUGAUGUGGUCACGAGGUGACCGUGUGGAUAUGUUGAUCACGAGGUGAUCACAUGGAUGUUUUGAUCAUGAGGUGAUCAUAUGGACCACGAGGUGGUCAAGAUGGUAUAUUGCUUGGCCGGUUAGCCAAGAAUGAGAUUGUUAUUGGGAUUGAGAUGCUGGUUUAUCAGUAUGGUAGUAGUUUCAUAUCAUACUUAGUAGUUGCUUUCGUAUCUGGUAGUUGUUAAUUUGAUUAACCUGCUUAAUGCUAUGUUGUUGUCUUGCAUUGAUGGUUUUCGUUGUUGUGAGCUUGCAAGUACAUUCAAUGUACUGACCUGGCGUGUCAUGCCAGAUUGCAGGUGAUACCGUGAUUGCUUGAUUGCUUGUCGUGGUUUCCGUUCGUACGAGCUAGAUCGUGUCCCAACCAGAGUACCUGCGGAGUGGAGUUCACCACCUUCGUCGUUGUUAUGCCGCUAGAAGAUUUCCGUUGCUAGCAUAGAGCAAGUGUAGUAUCUCAGGCGUAGUGUCGCCGUCUUGAUGCGAACCUUUGUAACAUCAUACCUUUGUAUUUAUCCUUUGUAAUAAGAGUUGAUUUGUUCUAUGUCAAGCAG
rnacentral:lncRNA from 1 species